AGGUUUUCCAAUCUGAUUUCCAGUGGUGAUUGUCCAACAGUUUUUAUGUGACGAAGUCAUAUACAACAUUGCUGUUGAAACUGGAGAGAGAUUGUUCUACGUUAGUUUUGGUAGAGAUAAAGAAACAGUUUCGCACGAAGAAGGCUUCUACUCUAUGAACUGUCACCACGAUUCAUUUCCUGGAUAAACAGACGUGUUUGUACCUAAGAGUGAGUUAAGGAGGACGAUAUAACAGCCAAAACAGUAAUAUUCCCGAUAUGAGUGGUCACAUUGUAAGUGAACAUCAAAUAGCACACACCAGGUGUUGAAAAGUUGUACAAGCAAACAGAAGACGUUUACGGUGUGAACUAUCACGUCGCACUUCCGACUGGACAAACCUUCACAGGGUCGAUAUAACAGAGAAGACAAGAAUAUCCCCGACACAAGUGGUCAACUUGAUAGAGAACAGCAAAUAACAAAUAUCAGGUUCAAAAAUGAGUGGUGCCGGAGAAACGGAGGAAAAGGCGAAACAACGUUAUAUCGAGCUCAAGAACAAUCUAUCAAUCAACUUUAUAGCUGAAAAUGUGGGGAAC